AUUGAACGCUGGCGGCAGGCCUAACACAUGCCAGUCGAGCGGAUGAAGGGAGCUUGCUCCUGGAUUCAGCGGCGGACGGGUGAGUAAUGCCUAGGAAUCUGCCUGGUAGUGGGGGAUAACGUCCGGAAACGGGCGCUAAUACCGCAUACGUCCUGAGGGAGAAAGUGGGGGAUCUUCGGACCUCACGCUAUCAGAUGAGCCUAGGUCGGAUUAGCUAGUUGGUGGGGUAAAGGCCUACCAAGGCGACGAUCCGUAACUGGUCUGAGAGGAUGAUCAGUCACACUGGAACUGAGACACGGUACAGACUCCUACGGGAAGCAGCAGUGGGGAAUAUUGGACAAUGGGCGAAAGCCUGAUCCAGCCAUGCCGCGUGUGUGAAGAAGGUCUUCGGAUUGUAAAGCACUUUAAGUUGGGAGGAAGGGCAGUAAGUUAAUACCUUGCUGUUUUGACGUUACCAACAGAAUAAGCACCGGCUAACUUCGUG
rnacentral:rRNA from 1 species